UACGUAGGGGGCAAGCGUUGUCCGGAAUUAUUGGGCGUAAAGCGCGCGCAGGCGGCCUUGUAAGUCUGUUGUUUAAACUUGGGGCUCAACCCCAAGUCGCAAUGGAAACUGCAAAGCUUGAGUGCAGAAGAGGAAAGUGGAAUUCCACGUGUAGCGGUGAAAUGCGUAGAUAUCGGGAGGAACACCAGUGGCGAAGGCGGCGAUCUGGGAAGAUACUGACGCUGAGGUGCGAAAGCGUGGGGAGCAAACAGG
rnacentral:rRNA from 1 species